rnacentral:rRNA from 1 species
AUUGAACGCUGGCGGCAUGCCUUACACAUGCAAGUCGAACGGCAGCACGGGAGCAAUCCUGGUGGCGAGUGGCGAACGGGUGAGUAAUAUAUCGGAACGUGCCCGGUCGUGGGGGAUAACGUAGCGAAAGCUACGCUAAUACCGCAUACGAUCUACGGAUGAAAGCGGGGGAUCGCAAGACCUCGCGCGAUUGGAGCGGCCGAUAUCAGAUUAGGUAGUUGGUGAGGUAAAGGCUCACCAAGCCGACGAUCUGUAGCUGGUCUGAGAGGACGACCAGCCACACUGGGACUGAGACACGGCCCAGACUCCUAACGGGAGGCAGCAGUGGGGGAAUUUUGGACAAUGGGCGCAAGCCUGAUCCAGCAAUGCCGCGUGCAGGAUGAAGGCCUCGGUU